UACGAAGGGGGCUAGCGUUGUUCGGAAUUACUGGGCGUAAAGCGCGCGCAGGCGGCUAUUCAAGUCAGUGGUGAAAGCCCGGAGCUCAACUCCGGAACUGCCAUUGAAACUGUUUAGCUUGAGGAUGAGAGAGGUGAGUGGAAUUCCCAGUGUAGAGGUGAAAUUCGUAGAUAUUGGGAAGAACACCGGUGGCGAAGGCGGCUCACUGGCUCGUAUCUGACGCUCAGGCGCGAUAGCGUGGGGAUCAAACAGG
rnacentral:rRNA from 1 species